rnacentral:rRNA from 1 species
GCGGCAGGCUUAACACAUGCAAGUCGAGCGCCCUGCUUGCAGGGAGCGGCAGACGGGUGAGUAACGCGUGGGAACCUACCUUUAGGUACGGAAUAACAGUUAGAAAUGACUGCUAAUACCGUAUGUGCCCGAGAGGGGAAAGAUUUAUCGCCUAUAGAUGGGCCCGCGUUGGAUUAGCUAGUUGGUGGGGUAAUGGCCUACCA